GUUACCUUUAAACCAGUCCUGUGAGGCUGGCAAGGUGGAACAGAUAGCCAUCUGUUACUGAAAGAGAAUUACUUCUCUUUGAAGUUAAGCACCUUGCCAUAUUUGGUAAGGUGUUUUUUUAU
rfam:Virgibacillus sp. SK37, complete genome.